CUGCAGCCAAUUAAGCCGACUGAGUCCCUUUCCUCAUGGGGGCCCAGUGUGCAAUGGCUGCAAACAGCAGCUUCCCUGGUAGUGAUGCAGCCUGUUUGUUGUAUGCGUUGCUCUAAGGGACCUUGGAGACAGUC
rnacentral:snoRNA from 1 species